UACAGAGGUCUCAAGCGUUGUUCGGAUUCAUUGGGCGUAAAGGGUGCGUAGGCGGCGCGGUAAGUCGGGUGUGAAAAUCUCGGAGCUUAACUCCGAAACUGCAUUCGAUACUGCCGUGCUUGAGGACUGGAGAGGAGACUGGAAUUUACGGUGUAGCGGUGAAAAUGCGUAGAUAUCGUAAGGAAGACCAGUGGCGAAGGCGGGUCU
rnacentral:rRNA from 1 species